GAUGAACGCUGGCGGCGUGCCUAAUACAUGCAAGUCGAGCGAACAGACGAGGAGCUUGCUCCUCUGACGUUAGCGGCGGACGGGUGAGUAACACGUGGAUAACCUACCUAUAAGACUGGGAUAACUUCGGGAAACCGGAGCUAAUACCGGAUAAUAUAUUGAACCGCAUGGUUCAAUAGUGAAAGACGGUUUUGCUGUCACUUAUAGAUGGAUCCGCGCCGCAUUAGCUAGUUGGUAAGGUAACGGCUUACCAAGGCAACGAUGCGUAGCCGACCUGAGAGGGUGAUCGGCCACACUGGAACUGGGACACGGUCCAGCCUCCUACGGGAGGCAGCAGUAGGGAAUCUUCCGCAAUGGGCGAAAGCUUGACGGAGCAACGCCGCGUGAGUGAGGAAGGUCUUCGGAUCGUAAAACUCUGUUAUUAGGGAAGAACAAAUGUGUAAGUAACUAUGCACGUCUUGACGGUACCUAAUCAGAAAGCCACGGCUAACUACGUG
rnacentral:rRNA from 1 species